CCCAGGUAGAUGGCAAACUCCUUGAUGUCAAAAAUCCAGUCUCAUAAUUUGGACCCACGUAGUACUGAGCUUGCUAACAGGGUGUGCACAGUAAUCAUUUGUGGACAGGACUUUGGUGACUGGAAGUGUUACAAGACAGGAAGACAACAGGCCUUUUCCAUUCCCACAUUGCAUUUUGCUCAUUUUCAGUUUUACCCAAGAGUGACUCAGAAAUAAAGUAUUCGAAGUCUUGGUCGAAAUUUGAAAUUGAAUCCUUGUGGAAGUUCUUUGGGUUCCGUUGGCUUUGGUGAAUGCCCUGCUUGCGUUUUAGGUGUUUACCCCUGCUCCAAAUUCCAUCUGGCUUUCCACACCUUUGCCAGAUCAGGGUGGAGGAGUCGAGGCCAUAGCAUUUCUGAUUGAAGAAAGAAAGGAGGGAUCACAGAAAUACAACAGACACUUCAGAAAAACAGGAGCUCGGAAUGGAAAGCCAAUACCAGAAACUCGGCUAAUCUAACGCAGUCCAAAAAGCCUAAAUACUGGAAGAAAAAAUCAUCUGAGCUGCUUGUGUCUAUUAUAUAGCUAAAAGCAGUUGAAUGACAAAAUACAGCCAUGGUUGCCUAACAGCUUUUUGGUCAGUGACAGACUGCAUAUACAAUGGUGGCCCCAUGAGAUUCCAGCGCAGUAUUUUUACAGCACCUUUCUACCUUGAGAUAUGUUUAGGUUCACAAAUGCCUACCACCGUGUCACAAUUGCCUGUGGUACUCUGUACAGUAACGCCUUGUCCAGCCUCGCGAUGACGAUGAUGCUUCCAUAAGGCCCUGCAUGGGAUAAAGCAGUCCCACAUGACCAGAACAAUCUUCCUACCAUGUGUGAUAUUCAUGGGAGACUGGCAAGCAGAUGCUCGGCUUCAUCGAUACGUCUCUGGUGAGACCGUCAGCAUGGGUUCUCCCCCGAGCCUGACCAACUUUGGGUAAAGUUGGGCUUUGGAAUCUACAAAACCCAGGGCCAGUCCCGAGGAGACAGUGUAUCCAUAGCCAGACGUGUUCUUCAUGUGAAAUAGGUAUUUUGCUCCAGUCGUUUUAAAUUCAAUCCAGUCUCUUUCUCUAAGUCAGUGUUGCUGUGUUGGUCUUGACCUCAGCAGCUCGACACGGUUUGAGAGCUGAAGAGGGUGCUGUUCUGCCGGCCUCCUCAGCUGAGCUCUGGGUUGAGGAAGACGUCCAUACCUUUCAUUUAUUCAAGUGGAAGGAGGGAGGAGCAAGAGCAGGGGAGGGUAAGUGGCAGGGCAAGCAAGGCAGCAGCUGACCAUUCCAAGAAUUCCCUCCCGCAUCCCGAUCUUCCACCUGGAGAACCAACGGCGCAGCCAGGGAAGUCGAGGCACGCCCACAGUGGCACCAACAGCUGGGACCUCUUAUCGCAUUUGCGUUUCAGCUUCUGAGUUCAGCGAGCUGUAAAAAUACCUUAUGAUCUUUCAAAAAGCGAUUUUCCCUCCAAGCACACACAUGUUAUGAAAUGUUCUUUCUUGCCCCUUCCCCCAUUUUUAUAAACUCAGAGCAAUGUGGAUACCAGAUUACUAAAAGUCAAUUCCAUUAAGAAGCAAAGAACCGAAAAUGAAAACGCAUCUGCCAGCUCACACUCUGCAGUGGCCUUCCAUCCACGGGUCCUUGUUGCCAGGAUCAAAUCUCUCUUUUCUGGAAACCAGGUCCCUUCCUCUUGGAAGGUCAUGUGUUGUGGUAACAAUGGCACUAACAAAGGUAAUUGUUGUUCCCAGCAGAGAGCAAACUCCUAGAGGCAGGGCUGGGGAUGUGACUGUCCCUUGUCCAGAGAGAGGCUGGCCCACAAUAGGUGUCCAAGGAGAAUCAGAAUGGGUUUAUACUAUAUUGUUAGAGGUGGUUAGAUUUCAAGCUGCCUUUAUGAAUAUGGCUCAGUGCUUUGGCAGAGACCAAAUAUGCCAGAGAGGAGAGUGUCUCGCCGGCUCUGCACUUUGAAUAUUCUCC
rnacentral:lncRNA from 1 species